rnacentral:rRNA from 1 species
GUUUACGGCCAUACCAGCCUGGGUACGCCCGAUCUCGUCUGAUCUCGGAAGCUAAGCAGGGUCGGGCCUGGUUAGUACUUGGAUGGGAGACCGCCUGGGAAUACCCGGUGCUGUACGCU